AGGGCAGAGGCACAGCAAGCAGUGAGUGCUUGGUCAAAGCUUCUGCACCCAAGGCCCUGGCAGGGGAGCUGCUCCCAUUACUUCUGCAUCACCCUGCAGACACUUGGAGGCCACAGCUAAGUGAUGGCAGAAGCCAAGGCACCCUCCUCAUCUGUCGGAUUGACUCAGCAGCCGGUCUGAGAAGUACGGAUGCCAGAUGCAAAGCUGAGAAAAAUAUGGAAGAAAGAAGGGAGAGAGAGAGAUCUUCAAUUACCCGAUGAGAGGGCAGAGAGAAGAUGGAGAUGACAGUUCUUGGAGGUACCUAAGGAAAGGACAAAAGGCAAUGUGCACAGGUUGCAACAAAGAAAAUACCUAUUUCCAAGGCAGUAGAAAAGACUUUGUUAUGGUGUCCAAGCAUUACAAAAACAACUUAAGCUGUGAAAUUUUUACUUUCAUGGACAGUCAAAAGUCAUCUGGGCCUGCUAGAAUUCACCUGGACUUUAUUCUGAGUGGGGGGGGGUUGACCAAACGAUGGUCAUAACACUAAACCAGCCACUUCUGAGCAUGUUAUUUGAGUUGUCCCCUCAAUUAUUGUUCCACCUCAGUAAGAAUGAAUGAGUGACCUAUUCAUGAAUGGGUAUGUAGAUAGACAGAUCGAUAGAUAUAUAGAUAAACCAAAUACAGAGGUGUCCUUAAACUCUUUGUUCUAGUGUCCCUGCAAGGUAUUACAGUGUUUACAUUUUUACUUUAUCUCCAGAGACCAGCAGGAGACUCAAGAGACCAUACUCAUAUUACUGUACUCCUUCCUAUUUAGGACAAAUUGGAGCAAGCUGACAGGCUCCAAGGAGAACUUGUACCUAUAAAUUGAUCUCCAAAUAAAGGCCUAUGUAUAAAACA